CUAGUUUCUUAGUGUCAGACUAUCUUUCUGUUUCUGUUCCCGAAAUGGUGUCUAUGUACGUGUACAUGUGUAAGUUUAUGUACUGUACGGUGGGGAUGUGUCCGGUUGUUUUCGUAGCCUAGGGUGAGGGUCACUGGGUGUGUGUCUAGUUCUCUACGUGUGUGUGUGUUUAUGUUUCAGGGUCAAGUAGACAGGGUGUCUGUUAAUGGCUUUAGUCCUCAACGGCUGAAACGCCACAUGGUGAUGACGUUCAAAUACUCCACGUUAUCGCCACUCCAUAGAGAUGUCGUUGUUAAGGGACAAAGACGUGGAGGUGGCGGAGGAGUUGAAACACCUGGGCGUUGUACUUGACCACAAGCUAAGAUGGGGGAAGUGUACGGAGCAGACGUAUACGAAAGGACAGCAAAGGCUCUACUUUUGAAGGUCGUUUGAUGGAAGAAUAACAAAGAGAUAAUCCAGUCGACGAAUUGGUGAUUAUAAGAAUACGGCUGCUGGAGCAACCGGUGAUAUUACAACCCAAGUAUGUGGAUCCCGCGGAAACUGAGAGAGGUAUAAUGGAGUUAGAGAAGGAAAUAAAGUCGAGAAAAAUGAAUAAGGUGAGUCAAAAGAAAAAUACAAGAUGUUUUAAUUGUAACAAAAUUGGACAUUUCGCCCGGGAGUGUAACACUCCACAAAAAAAUCGUCAACAGGUUGUAAUUUAAUAACUCUCUGAUGCAGGCACUUACACCCUCGGACUACAAAGGACCGUGUCAGACACGAUGGGUGUGUUUUCUAUUAAGGUACUGCCAAAACCAGAGGUCCCAGACGAACCAGGGCCAGACACACUCCUCUACCACCCCUGGACCGAACCUGCUACUACUGGGUUAAAAAUCCCAUUCAGGUAAUUAAUGUUAGACUAUUCAACUAUUGAUCAAUUAGGCACUGAGACUGGUUUUGAUGGUAGGGACAAUUUGUGGGUGUCUUAAACAGAAUAGACUUGCUUAGGAUAUGCUUCUUGCUAGUCAGGGGGGCGUCUGCAAGAUGUUCGGUGAACAAUGUUGUACGUAUAUCCCUAAUAACACCAGUCCAGAUGGUAGUAUAUCUAAGGUCCUUAAUGGGCUUGAUCUGUUGAGAUGAGGACCAUGGCGGGAGUGGAGGAGUCUGUUGUCUUGGCCUGGUUUGGUAAGUAUACUGGUAUGGUGGUUACUGGAUUUCUGACCCUAAUUCUUGUAUUAUCGUUAUUGAUGUGUUGUGCUGCUUGCAUCAUACCGUGUUUUAAGAAGUCUGUUACAGAUGUGGUGAAGGCUUCAGGCAUGAUGCCUUUGCUUGAUGCUCCAGUUGGAGAUACUGAAGCAUGCUUUCAGAGACUGACUGAGGAUGACCCAUGUAUGUUUGUUCUCCCUGUCGUGAAGGGUGGCAUGGUGCCCACCUGGUGCAGGAUAGGAAUAGCUGAGAGGACCAGAUGGGUUAUAAGAAUGCUUUGUUCUGCUUUACUCUGUUUUCCAUGACCAAAGUUUUAUUCCACACUUUGCAACACAUAUUAAAUCCAUGUUAUUGUCAGAUAGAAUACUGAGGGUCCCCAAGGAGAGGGCUUGUUAGUGUAGGAAGGAUUUGUAAUAUGGUUAGCAUUUAUUAGAUUAUACGUUUUUAAAUAGUAUUACAUUUAACAGGAAUAUAGGACAUCUAUGAUGAUUUAGGAUUAUUGUUAGGAUGAAGAUAGAUUGAUUAAGGAAAUGUAAGGACUUUAGAGAAAAGCCGCUCAUAGACAUGUUCUUUCUAAAAGAAAAUCCAUGAGUUUAGAUAAAGGAUGGGUAAAUAGUGUUCUAGAAUAGGAUGUGACCUACGGGAUAAUUAACUAAUACAUUUUUUUGAGCUAAUAAACAGAACGAAUAAGAAACUGUUUUAUUAACCAAACCUGUAUGUCCAAGAGUUUAUGCACUACAGGUGAAAUCACUCAAUCCAGUCCCAUAGGCCUGGUGGGGGGACCAUACCAAGGGCUCCUGGUGACAGCUAGCUGAAAGAGCUACCCGGAUUCAUAUCCCAUGGGGAGAGAGGGCUAUAUGAAUCCACUCACCCAGUAUGGGAAAAGGUAGAGUGGAGUGGCAUAAGGAAAUGCUUAACUCUUUAAAUAGAAAUGAAGGAGGGUCAAGGGUUGUGGUAGGGAGAUGACCAGGUCUUGGUCGACACCCUAGUACGGUUCUGGGUAGAGGAGUGUGGAUCGGUAUGGUAAAGCUGUUCAUGAAAGCAGGAAUGCCAGAUAAUGACAGUUGUAUUGAUUUGCACUAUUUAUAUCCCCAGGAACCAAGUUAGUACAGAGAAUAUGACCACUGACGAGACCAUGUCUGAAUUGACAGGCUGGUUGAACUCUGGGGAUUUCAAUAAAAUAAAAUGGGCCAGUGUUGACACCUAGUGGUUGUGUGGGUCAUGUGCGCAGACAACAGGACAUGAAGUUAUCUAAAAGGGAAAAGAGAAACACUUCAUCUGGGUCAUUUGAUGACAAGGUAUACAUUGAUAACAUUGGGGUUCCAGGAGAGGUGCCAGAUGAGUCAAAGCAAGAAAUCAGAUCCUAGCAGGAUUAGAGUUAAGCAUUUCCGGGGUUCUACUCUCACAAGAGCGUGGACUGGAUUAAUUAUAGUUAUGAUAAUCAACAGCGCUUUAGCAGGAAUACCAAUGGUGUUAUUAAAGGUUUUGUAGAACAGACUGAAGCAACCAGCUGGAAGACCUGACAGAAUAGAAUUGCAUUAGAUAAAAGGGGGAAGUGGGCGUGAUAAUCAGGACCAUGACCAUGUCUUACAUCCCGGGGUAACGCAGCUCCUCAGCUGGUUUGACCACCCUGGCUCACGGGUUGGCAGAAAACUCUGGGGUGAAUACUUCCCUGACUAAUUGGUUUGAUAGUACGUUUGGAAAAUUGAAUUUUUUUAUAAUCACUGUGUUAUGGGCGGCAUCCACCUGCAUGACUGUUUUAAUUUUAUGCGGCUGUUGUCUAAUUCCCUGUGUGCGAGGCCUUGUUUCCAGGGCUCUGGAGAGAUCAAUGACACUACAGAUGGUGCAUUAUGGGCCGAUUCCAGGUUCUGACGUGUGGAGGACUGAAGGCAUGUCUACAGAGGAAGUAGACGAAUCUGGAUCUGUCAUUUGUGGGGAAUUUAUGUUUGAUGAGAAUAGUGUUGAGAUGAAGGGGAAGAAUUUGUUUCAAUGAUUAAACUGUUUUUUUAAUAAAGAUUGUAAAAAAAAAAUCCUGAAAGAGGAGUUAUGAUUCUGAUGUAGGUUUAAAAACAGUUGGAGUUAAGGUUAGAUUUGAUUGAUGGUGGGUGAAGAGUCGGGUAAACAUUUAUAAUAAUAUUUUUAUUUUGUAGAUUUGAAUGUAUAAUAUUUGAUCAAAGGGAGGAUUGAUAGAGGAAAUUAUGGUUGAAAUGACUAAUUAUGUAUACAUUCCAAUCAGAACUGACUAGUCCAAAUGCUAUAAUGUACUUUACAUGUGAAUUUUCUCUCUUGCUCCCUUUCCCAAUUGUAUAUAAUGUAGUCAGGAGUUUAGUAACAAUGAAGGUCUGUUCCUUAGUUCAUUCAGUUGUACAAAUCUCCAGGUGGUGGGAACGGGCCAUCUCCAGAUUGUCUAGAAUGUUGAUUUAUACUGACUGGCCUUGACUUCGUGCUGAUAACGCGAAGGCACAAGAGCUAGGGGGCCCCUCUGCUUGUGAAAUAGAACGUUUGGAAAACGCUGACGUCAUUUUCAGUUUAUAACCUGUGGAAAUGUGUGUAUGCAUUUAGUACUCUCUUGUAAUAAACACUGUUUACCUUUGG